AGAAGGGAAGAGCAUAUGGGAAGUAGGUAGGUGUGAGGAGUAAGACAUAUAGUGAAGACAAGACAGUUCUGCCUGAAGCAAAGGGACAUCUCUGAAAGCAGAGAUGAGAGAGGACAGAGAGAAGAAUACGGCCAUCUAAAGGAGAAUGUGGAGAGGCAAAAUGGUGGUGGGAAAAAUUAAGUCCAGAAAUCAAUGAACAAGAUUUUCAAAUGAUGACUACUAAUUGUGGGUCUUCCCCUUGCAAGUAAACCUUGCCAACACUUCUGAACACUGUGGACGCCACUGCAUUCUUAAAUCCUUCACAGAGACCCGAAAAGAGCUCAGUCAGACAAAAAAUUCAAAGAUGAAGGAACACCGCAGAGAGUUCUUAAAAUGAAGCUGCCUUGUACCUUCCGUACUUGCUCUUCAGUUAUGGUCCCUGUACCAAAGCUUGUUUCUGUUCUUUCUUAUCCCACACCUCCACAACACCUCCUCAGAGCCCCACCUUGCAUCCAGGAUUUCCCAGAAAGAUAAAUGAAUGCUGUGUGUGCACACCCCAUUUGAGGCAGGCGCCACGGAGGCCGCACGAAAUGGAACUCCGGGAACAGAAGCCUUUUCCUUCCAAACACACCUCUUCUUCCGGCUCCUUGGGUCUGACCUGCCAAACAACUAGCAAACACAUUUCUCUGAAUGUCCAACCCCAACUGUGCUGGAGCAGAAUUAGUAAGUGGUACUUUCUGUAAUCUGGGAUUUCCUCUCUGGCAUCAACCUCUGUCUCACCCUGUACCACAGGAAUUUUUCCCAGGCCUGACAAUCCUGUCUCCACAUUUGGAGAUUCCAGAAAUGUGUUCUCUCUUGCUUCUUUUGUUAAGAAUUUAUAGAGUCUCACAGAACUUUUGUUAGGAAUUUAU
rnacentral:lncRNA from 1 species